GGUGAGGUGGCCGAGUGGCUUAAGGCGCACGCUUGGAAAGCGUGUAGAACGCAAGUUCACGCAGGUUCGAAUCCUGUCCUCUCCG
rnacentral:tRNA from 1 species